rnacentral:lncRNA from 1 species
GGAAAUAAGACAUACUUCUCAUCCAGCUAGAGAAAGGACAGAAGGAAGCAGCAUUUUGGAAUGGAGACAACCACUAUGUGGGACAGUUUCACAACCAGGACAGUGUGUGUCCUGAGCAUGAAUCUGAGUACGCAAACGAGCAGCCAGACAUGGAGAGGCCAGGGUGCCAGAGAAGGACCAAGUGAGAAGGGCAUUCAGCCGAGGU